GGCCUUGAUCUCCAUAGGGUUUUGUUUUUCUCUUUUUUCUUUUCCAAGUUGAGCGCUUGAUCAUCUUGUGGUCAGCACCAUCAUCACCAUGUUCAUCUCUUGCUCCAUCACUUGGCAUGUACCAACCUCAUUAACUCUACACACACUUAGUAUAGAGGUUAGUACUAGGGUUUCAUCAAUUAUCUAAAACCAAACUAGGGCUUUCGAUCUCCCCCUUUUUGGUAAUUGAUGACAACCCUUUUUAUAAAGAUUUUCAAUAAAAAUUUUGUUGGAUUCAUGUUGCUUGCCCAAGCAUUUUACCAUGUGCAAAGUUAUGGACAAGUUUCAUAAAAUCCAAAAUGGUUGCAAUUGCACCCCUACAAAUGUGCUAAGAGUUUGGAUUUGAAAGCUUGCACAUAUGCUUGAAUAGGAAAAAUAGGAGUCAAUUUCUACCAAAUGAUGCUAAGGUGUAAAGAAUGGACCUUUGAAGCAUGAUACCAAUAAGAGUUGCCA
rnacentral:lncRNA from 1 species